GCUGGCCUUUUGGACAAAGAACAGGAUGAUCCUAGAUCGUUGCCUCCCGGCUCAGCCCAGACAGAGCCAGCCUGGAGAGAGGACUUACUCAGAGCUGCUGAAAGAAAGAAUUAAAGGAGACAGUGUGUAAGGGAUGGAUUUCUAUGUUUGCUUCCUUUAGGCAACUUGUGUGUUGUUCACUGGAAUUCCUCAGGCUCCUUGGACCUCCACCAGGUGAAUCCUGUGACUUAAGCAGCCUGAGACCUUGGCAGCUCAUUUUCUUCCUCUCCCGAUCUGCAUUUCCCAUAAGAUGGCAUGGCCCAAGAGAAAAACCCUGAUCAUUCAUUCGAGAGGAACUUAGCCACCGCGGCAAGAGUACCCUUCUGGAGAGGCUUGCCUAAAAAUUAAACCCUUUGACCACCUUCCAGCUGUCAGGAGUCCUGACAGCAACCACAGAGUGAGCCCGGAAGUGGAUCCCUGCUAAGCCUUCCAAUGACUGCAGCCCUGGCUGACCCCUGACUGCAACCUCACGGGACGUCUUGACCCCACAGUCUCCCAGUUUAUUCACUUCCGGGUUCUCGAUCUUCAGAAAUUGUGUGAGAUGAUGAAUACAUGUUGUUUUAAGCUGCUGGGGUUUGGGGUAGUUUGUUCCUCUGUAACUACUGUAGUUCUAUAUUGUCCUAUUAAAUCCUCGCACCAUUCCUGAAAGGUGGAGUUUGCUUUUCCCAUUUUUAGGAUGAGAAAACUGACGCUGAGAUGAGGGUAGUGACUUUUCAUACCUGGGCAGUGGCAGGGCUGGGAUGUGCCCUCAUAGCCAUUGGAUUCCAGAACAGAAGGAACCUGGUUCUGUUUUCUCAGCUGGGAUGUCUGCAGGGUGAGGUAGAGGAACUGGGAAUGGGAGGAUGUGGUCUCUUUCUUUGAUGUGUUUUUUCUCCUUUUUACUUUUCAUUCCAACCAUGUAGUUAGCAGCCGCUCUAUUAUCUAGUAUGUAUAUGUGAUUCCAGGAAAAGAAGUUGUAUCAGAAAAAACAGCAGAGUUUUGAGAGGCUUUUGAGUGACCUUGAACAAGUUCCUGCACUUUUCUCGGGCUGUGGUUUCUUUGUCUGCUGUAUGGGGAAUAUAAUCCUCCUUCCACGUGUCUCACUAGGAAACCUCAAAGAUCAGGCAUGAGGGGAUUUUGGAAAAUGCCAAGGGUCCUGGUCAUGGAAAGGUCUGCUUUGAGUAUGGAGCACCCCUGACCCAGGGCUCUCACAGUCUAGAAGGGAGGCAGUCCCGCAUAGCGAUCUCUGUGUAAGUGGUAAGUGCUCCCUCUUCUCUAUCACCCUAGUCUAGCUUCAAGAGACAGAGAACACAGAGAGAAAUUGAAAGCCCCGACCCACUUUUUCAGCCUCAUCCCUCACCAUGACCUCUCUGUUAGGCCACACCACAGCCGGGCUGAACUAGUGGAAAUUCCCCAAGCCUUCCGGGAACUUUCUGUAUGCUGAGACUUUAUCUGUGCCAUUUCUUCUC
rnacentral:lncRNA from 1 species